GACCGGUGGCGCACGCUGCGUGCACGGCUGGAGAUCGCGGCUCUGCGGGACUCGCGGCCUCGCCCACACGGGCCGCCCGAGCCGUGGAGUGAGCGCUUACUCUGCAGGCCUCAGUUCACACGCCACGCGGGUUUUCCAGCAAAACCUAGACGGACUAUGGAACCGUUUGCCCGAGCGAGAGAGGGAGGCAGAGCCAGCCGCGGGGACCAGGCAUGCGGGGUGGGCGCGGUGGCCGGGCGUCCUGGUUGGCUCCUGGGGUCGCGGGAACACGCGCUCGGGCGGGAUGAGGCGGGGACGGCUCUUCCUCCUCCUGCCGGGGAUCUGCGAGCUGCUAGGGGCGGACUCAUCAGCAGCCUGCCCUCCGGGGAAUCGGCCCAUUUCAGUAUUUUCCUUUUGAUGCCGACGGGCGCUCGCAGACGCCCCCACGUUCAAAGCGGGCAGGGACACUCAUUUCCCCAAACUGCAAUACAAGAAAACCAGCCACUGGAUGGUCCAGAAGCCAUGGAGAGGCACAUCUAGGGUCCCCAGCUGACAGCCCUCGGUGGGUGCCACACAACUGAGCACCAUCCCCCAUGAAAGGAGACCAUCUCCCCAUGACUCUGGCCUCAGCAGCAUCAGUGACAGAUGUGCAUUUACCUGCCAUGGAUAAAAAAGAGGUGUCUGAUCCAAAGGAACCCUCAGGGGAGCAACAAUAACCAGCUCAAACAAGAGCCCCAGAAGGAGCGGGACAACCCCAGCCAGCAGCACUGCCACAAUCAAAGUCUUCAUUAUCUACAAGGAAACAAGAG